rnacentral:rRNA from 1 species
UACGGAGGGUGCAAGCGUUAUCCGGAUUCACUGGGUUUAAAGGGUGCGUAGGAGGGCAGGUAAGUCAGUGGUGAAAUCUCCGGGCUUAACUCGGAAACUGCCGUUGAUACUAUCUGUCUUGAAUACCGUGGAGGUGAGCGGAAUAUGUCAUGUAGCGGUGAAAUGCUUAGAUAUGACAUAGAACACCAAUUGCGAAGGCAGCUCACUACACGAAUAUUGACUCUGAGGCACGAAAGCGUGGGGAUCAAACAGGAUUAGAUACCCCAGUAGUCC